rnacentral:rRNA from 1 species
UGCGGAAGGAUCAUUGUCGAUGCCUCUCGAAGAGAACGACCCGCGAAUCGUGUGCUCAUCAUUAUGGAGACGGGGGUGCUGGUUGCCCCCGGUUCCUGUGUUGCAAGAGCUCUUGUGGACUCGUGCCGCUUGAUCCUCUUCGACGCAAUAACUAACCCCGGCGCCCUGCGCCAAGGAAUCUUGAGAACCAAGCGUGCCCCUUGGUCGCCCGGAAACGGUGCGGGUUGGGGGGUAAUGCGACAUGGUAUACACAACGACUCUCGGCAACGGAUAUCUCGGCUCUCGCAUCGAUGAAGAACGUAGCGAAAUGCGAUACUUGGUGUGAAUUGCAGAAUCCCGUGAACCAUCGAGUCUUUGAACGCAAGUUGCGCCCGAAGCCAUUAGGCUGAGGGCACGUCUGCCUGGGUGUCACACAACGUUGCCCCUCCACCCUCGACCCUCGCACGAGGGCGUUGUGGGUUGGGCGGAUCAUGGCCUCCCGUGAGCCCUGUCUCGCGGCUGGUUGAAAAGAGAAGCCCUCGGUGGCGAUCGCCACGCUGCUCGGUGGAUGAGCUUGCCUCGAUGCCGGUCGUGCGCGCGUCGUCACCUUUUUCGGGGCUCCCGGACCCUGUUGCAUUGCACUGUGCGAUUGCGAAACCAACGCGACCCCAGGUCAGGCGGGGCUACCCGCUGAGUU